rnacentral:rRNA from 1 species
UACGUAGGGCGCAAGCGUUGUCCGGAAUUAUUGGGCGUAAAGAGCUCGUAGGCGGCCUGUUGCGUCCGCUGUGAAAUCCCGGGGCUUAACCCCGGGUCGGCAGUGGAUACGGGCAGGCUAGAGGUAGGUAGGGGAGAAUGGAAUUCCCGGUGUAGCGGGUGAAAUGCGUAGAGAUCCGGAGGAACACCAAAGGCGAAGGCAGUGUCCUGGGGAGUACCUGACGCUCAGGUGCGAAAGCCAGGGGAGCGAACGGG